CCCGUCGUACUAAAAAAAAUUGCUACGAAAUUCGGAGUUCGUGAAAAUUGGUAUCACUAGCCCCCAAUGAAUAGGAAGUUUGGCAGUUUUUUCUACGAACAAUUAUUUUGAUCGGAGUUUUUAAAACGAACAAAAAAUUAAGCUUGCGAAGAUAAAUUAAAUAAAAAUAAAAUAUAUGAAAAGAAUCAUGGCAAAAAAAGUUAUCACAAAUAAAAUUCAAUUCGAAAGGCUUUAUGAAAAGUCUUCAAGAAAAACUUGAAAUUGCCCAAGGAUUUUCAAAAAUCCCUAAGGAGGAAGUGAAUUCGUUUUGGGAGGCAGUAAAAAUAGAGUUAAAUAGUUAAAGACCCACCUUCUAAGGACACCUCUAGCUGGAAAAAAUGUGAUUAGAUUGAAAGGCAUAAAUCAAGAGGAAAAUGGUUGAGAACAAAAAAGAAUGCAAAGCUACAGGUGGCGGAGCAAAUAGAAUGCAUUUUUUUAGCAGCCUCGAAGAAGGUGUCAUAAGAAUGAAUGAACUUUGACCAGCGGAAUAAAAGAUCCACAAUCUUUUGGAUUCGAAAAUUCCUCCGAGCCUUUAGAAACAAAUGAACCUUGUGAAGAGAACUAACUUGCCGAUGUUUCGAUGUCAUCAGACGUAGUUGAUGUGAGAAAUGUUCCACGGCGUCUUCCAACCACUUCGUGUCAAUCAUAUGAUUCAUCCAGUCUUCGUGUAUUUUCUUCAUUUAUUGCAAAGAUUGCAACGACAAUACUAUCAAAUUUUAAAGACAAAAACAAAUAAAAACAAGAACAAAUCGAAAGAUGAAAAACGAACUUUUAUUUAAUUUUCUUAUUUUGACGCAUAUCAGCUGAUUUUAAAACU